rnacentral:lncRNA from 1 species
CGGGGUUGGCCAUGUUUUGGACAGACCCACCGAAAACGGGUGUGUGGUCACAACACAAAACUCCCACAACUUGGCAUCCACGGCGUGUCGCAAAAAGGGUCAAAGGUCAAGUUAAGAUCUGAUUUCACUAAGAUUAUUGCAUUGUUGUUCCCCAAAACAUAGGAGGAAUACUCAACUCGAGGCUAACCUAUUACAUCACUAUCCAAAACUUAGGUUGCCG